AUUUUUAAUUUAAAGUAAAUAGUUUCAAAAUAUAUAUAAGAAACCUCUUUCUUUUAAGUGGUUUCUUUCUUCCUUCUAUUUUUUCUGAAUUAAAAAUUAAAAAAUUAAAAGGCAAAUGGAAAGAUCUGCACUCGGUUUCUAUAAUUCCUCCCUUUUAUUUUUUUCUAAAUUAAAAACAAAUGAAAAGCAAAUUGAAGGACUUGCACUCCUGCUGCAGUUUGCCCAGAUCGCGAAUUGCUCCCUCAAAGAAAAAGAUCCUCACUUUAAUUACCUCCUUCCAUCUUCUUCGUACUCUCGUUGUUCUUCUCACUCACCGCUUCCUCUGCCGCUUCUCUACACUAAAUGCACCACCUCCUACGCCGCCUCCAUCAACCAUCGUACCUCUGCAAUUCGGCUAUUAAGACAAAGCCUACGGAUGCUACAGUAUUGUGUUCUCCAAUAGGAGCCUCUGCUGGGCGCGCUUAAAAGAUGGCAAUCUCGCACUCACGGAUACAGAUUACUGCAUUAAACUGAGACCAGAUUUGGCCAAGGGAUAUUACUAGUUCGGAGUAGCUUGAAUGAUGCUACAGGUGUAUAUGUUUUUGUUUACCAUUGAUUUAAUUCCCUUCUAGAUGGUAUCUGUUUUCUCAUAUUUCUAGCUACAUAAUUGUGAACUACCAUAAUUAACUGUCAGGUUCAUGAUGAUAAAACUUGUGACUCGAAACUGGAACUCUGGAAGAAUUGUCAGAUUCAUGUUGAUUAAACUGUUUUUUUUUAACAAACUCAUUGUUCACUUUGCUCAUCUAUUUCCUCUUGAUACUUAUUGAACAUCAACAUUCACGAGCAUUAUGAAAAUUCAGAGAGUCAUAGAUGAAGAGGGGACUGAAUUACCUUGAUUAUUACUGUUUCUUUUACAGCCAAUAUUGGUUGAUGGAUGACAAUUUGCUCAAGUGAAGGUGUAUGUCUUUGUGACAAGAGUGGUGUUGGAUGAAGAUUAAGUUUAUGUUUUUGAACGCUCUAGAGUCGUGUUCAAAGUACUAUAGUGGAGUACCUGUUACUUAUUCUUUAGUGAAGAUUGACAAGUUACCUAUAUGUCCGAGCAUAAAGAACUAGAUGAAGAGUCCAAAGAUGGUAUGGAUUAUGAAGAUGAUGAUAUGGCGUAGGUGAUUUAUGACUUUAUUCUAAUUUUAGAAUUUUGUAUUUCUUUACGGAGAAGAUUAUAGGACCUUAAGACACUUAAAUUUUUUGUAAUAUAUUUUUGGGAUUAAUGAAAGUUUUUUUAUUAUUUUUAGAUUAA